GGUGUUCAUCAUUUAUCUCCAUUCAGUUGUCAAGUAGCAUAUGUUCACUGUUAGAUAGUGUUUAAAGCUUUGAAAACUUAACUUGUGAUAGUGCUAGGGUCACUCUUGCCUGUCACAAGAUACCCAAAUCUUUGUCUGAUGAGGCAGACAUGCUUGCAGAAUGGCAGCCAAGUUUCACAGAUUUGGGACACAAGCCAUGCUGGGGUUGAUAGCUGGCC
rnacentral:lncRNA from 1 species